rnacentral:lncRNA from 1 species
GCAAAUGUCAUCUUAGUAUAUUUUUGAAGUUAUCCUCUUAACAUUACAAGAAAAGAAUUUCUACCAAAGAACGUAAUAUCUGUGGCGAUUUUGGGUAAUCAAACUGUAUACUUCAAAUCGUUAAAAAGAUAAAUGAAUGAAAACAGAGUUGUGAAAAUCGAACAGAUGGAAAGUGCUUUGGAAAGGAAACAAGAACCAAGAGUAGAUGUGUGGCAUCUCUUCAUACUGUUAAACUAAGUGAUGCAGCUUCAAUUGUUUUCCAGCUUUCUGACAAUCUUGUGUCUUUAUUUGUCUAAAUAAUUGGUGGACAUCAUUGGCAGAUGUUAAAAAAAUAAUCAAGUUAUUGACAAGGAACAAUUUACAGGGCAAGUGUCGCUCUAGUACACAUAGGAUUAUUAGUAUAGUAGUUUGUUGGUCAAGAAAAUAAAUGUCCGAUCAAUGAACUUUACCACUAUAAGCAAAUAAUUUGAAUUCUGAACUGACCAUUUGAAACUAAAAUUCUAAAAGUUCCAUUUGAACUUCAAAUUAUUUAGACCUAAUCUGGUCAUGUUCUUCACAAGUAUGGGUGAUUGUGAACUAAAAUAUUUUAAGUUACCCUAGUUCAAGCGAAAUAUAUGCCUCUUCUCGACGUUUCCAGUAAAAUUAAAUGAAUGGAAAACUGCCAUCUUUAAAUAGUGCAAUCCCAAGAAUCCCAGAGUAUCUGAGCUACAGAUGUACAAAGUAAUCGUCAAAGCUUUUUAAACAAUAUUUAAAAUGUAUUCAAUAUGACAUUGUAGAAUGAAUAAGAAGGCUUAUAUUAUCCUUGAAUGUUAUGUUUCAUGUUACUUCCUAUGCUUGUUGAAUGAUUAAAUACUUAGUGUUGUUAUUGUGUUGGUUUACCCCAAACAAAAUUGCAAGAUAGGCCUUAGAAGGAGUAUGGUUAUGUCAUAUGUGUGCCUAGCUAGUCCUGUUGAUAGCUAGCUUAAUCAUGAAUUUAGUUUACUUUGAUGCACGGACACUUUAAUUGGGUAGCGUGUCAUGACAUGUUGGACACGUGUCAGAUAUUGACACUCCUCG